rnacentral:lncRNA from 1 species
ACGUGAGCUGUACCAGAUUCCGAAGGAGUACCAUCAAGCCAUCCUUUGCCACCAUCCACGACGGCAACCUUGAACCUUCGAAACCCUCAAUGGCUAAACUUUUCAAGUGUGGGUGAGGUUGGAGACCAUCCAUGACACUGUUGAUAUUGUUGUCGUCGCAACCUUCUUUCGUGCCACACCAUGAAAGUUCUAAACUUUGAAUGCCUGAUUUUUCGGACAACUUUGCUUUUGCUGCGGAUUCAAAGCUGCUCACAUUUUCAAGUCCAGAAAUUCUUAACUCGCCUCGGAGGUUGCGCAAGUGUUCCAACUCCUCAAGUUGACAUCCCUUGUCUUGACUUACCCUGAAGUACGGCAACGUCCGAAGAUUAGCCAGCUGCCCGAUUCCAGGGAACAAACAUCUGAACCCAACGAAACCAAGCUCGAAAAACUCGAGAUGCCUUAAGUUAACUAAAUUGCCAAACUUCUUAGGUAUCUCUUUCAAGUAAUGUACUUUCAAGGUCAUCAAAUUGUAGAGCUUUGUGACCGAAUCUGGCAGAGCGGUGAUACGAGUUCCACUGAUAUCAAGAUGUCUUAAGUGUUUCAUAUCACCCACUGCAUUCGGGAGAUGAGUCAUAUGCCAGUAGUCUACUAUUAACACAGAAAGGUAUUUAGACCUUUCCAAGAUGUCUUCGAGCAUAAUACCAUCACCCCCACGAUAAUAAAGCGUUUGCAAAUUUGGAAGAAUCCCUUCGAUAUUCUUUAACACCUUCCCUUGACUCCCAAUGAUGGUCAAAUGCAUAACUUCAUUUUCAUGACGGACUUCCAUGCCACCCUCUGUAUUUAAGAAACAAUUAUUUGACACUUGCAGUGAAAGAUCAUGCACAAGGUCGUGCAUCCGGCAGCUCACAAUUCCGUUAAUGGAAUUCUUAUAACCAGCUUGCAACAAAGAACUCCGAAGCAAUACGUUGAAAUACUCACUGCCUAUAUCCUCCAUUUGCAAAUGACCUCCUCCUACCUUGGCAUCAUUUAUCAAUCCCUGGGCCAUCCAAAUCUGUAUCAACCUUUGUUUUUGCAUGACAGCGUCCUUCGGGAAGAUGGAACUACUUGCGAAGCAUUGUUUCACUGACCAUGAAGGUAAGUUCUCGUAACUCAGCUUCAGGGCAGACAUGACUCGUUUUCCAAUAUUGGUCGACUCGUUCCAUAUUUCACUCCUCUCGAGCUUCGACCAUUCCGAGGCAUCCUUUUUGGAAUACAACAAAACCCCGAUCACUUUGAUCGCUAAUGGCACGCCGCCGCACUUUUUCAGUAUCCUUCUGCCAAUGUCCACCAGAUUUUGAGUCUUUAUUGCACCACCGUCUGCAAAUGCUAGUUUUUCAAACAACAUCCAGCUAUGAUCUUCUGAGAGGAUGCCUAGACGAUGCAAGCCAGAUGUUUGCAUUGCUGAGGCUACCUCAUCGCUACGUGUGGUAGCCAAUAUUUUGCUUCCUGGAGCACCUCCAAUUGCCAACAAACGUCUCCUCAUGCCAUCCCAUUUCAGUGGAUCAUCAUUCCAAAUAUCAUCAAGGACAAGCAAGUAACUUUUUCCUUUCAGAUUUUCUUGAAGCUUCCUCACCAAUGCUUCCGUGUUUGUCGUGUCAGCACUUUUUGCCUCAGGGGAAGGUAGCAUCUUAUUCAACAGCCUUUCCACUUUGAAAUCAUCAGACACACAAACCCAUAUUAUUUUAUCAAAGUGCUUCACUACACACUCAUUUUUCAGCACCAGCUGUGCGAGGGUUGUUUUACCCUGGCCACCCAUCCCAACUAUUGAGAUGACGGGUAAAUCCUUCUUACAGUCUGAGCUAAUUAACCUGCUCACAACUUCAGAUACGUCAGCCUCCCUUCCCACCGUUUCUGACUCGUACACAAAAGGAUCAGUCGACCGAUCCACUUUGUGAUCAGUAGAUGCCAUGGGUAGUUGAGCUGGAUGAAGCCCCAUCUGUUUUGCUUCUUUGUAAGCUUCCUCCAGAGAUGCCAUAACUUCCUUGAUCUUGUCAGCCAUCCCUAGACGAAAGGAAAUAGGAUUUGAGGAAGAAAAGAAGUUGCGUACCUUGUCGCGCUUCCGAUUCUUAACCUUCUGCCGCAGAACUUCAUAUCCGAAGUCAUCCAACACGAUCUCAGCAUCACGUGCUAUGGACCGGAGCGUUUUCAGCCAGAGCUGCGCGGUUUUGGUUGUUGAUUGCUUGCAUUCAGCAUCAAAAAUCAAAGCUUCCAUCUUCCGUACACUGUCGGCAAGCUUCUGAAGGUCUUUCUCUACACCCCAUGCCCGGCUGAUCUCGGCGGCAGCAAGUGGAAGUAUCUUAUCCAAGAUCACACUAAGCACGGUGUCAGCCAUCUUCAAGGGAAACUCUUUAACAGAUGAAGGUAAAAUGCGUUGUUUGAAGUUGAAUAGUUGGACUAUAUAUUUUUUGCAGGCAGAGAUGAGCAACAUUCAACAGCUAGCGUUACAAAGCAGGGAAUCCAUUACUUAUCUUCCAUUUCAUAUUUUUUCAAAACGAAAUUUCCUACCAAGUUGGAAAACUAAUAAAAAAGUACUGCACCAAGAAAAGACUUGAGAUAAUUCAGGACCACACGGCUUGUGGGCACCAUUGCCCCGAAAUAAUUGAAUCUAUAGACGUUAAUUGAGGUAGGACCAAACCAACCUUUUGCCUUCGGGGCAACCUUUUGUUUUUUGGGUAAAGUGGCUACACUUGUAAUGCAUUUUCAAUCAUCUUUGCACAUGUGACAAAAUGUUCUCAUAAUUCAUUGCCCAACGCUGGAGAGAAGUAUUAAAAACAUUAAAAAGAAAAGGAAAAAAAAAGCCUUUGAUUGUUUCUUGAACAAAGCAAAGUAGCAGCAUGUAGUCUCCGGCGAAAGAAUUGCCAUUAUCUUCUGGCCGUACAUUUUUUUCCUCCCUGGCUCUUUAUAUUUAAUAACAAUUUAAUUAGAAUAGUAUAAAAGUGUCGGAUGCAAAUGUGUUAACUAACUUAAAGAAGGGAUGAGUAAAAGAUUCCUCGAGAAAGGGUGUGAAAACUAAAUUUCAACCUCUAGAUGCUCAUAAUGGUCAAUAGAUGAAAUUUCAACCUCUAGAUUGCAUUAUUCUUUCUCAUUGCUUUUACGAGGAAGGCCUGGCCCGACGAGUCAAUGAUUUGUUGCUCUUUAAAAUCGUAAAUAUAACUUAAUAUAAAUCCCAUUCUCAUUAUAAACAAAUUAGUUAAGAUUCCAAUCCCUCACUUUAAAUAAUUCUAAUAGAAAAGAAAUUCCAUUCUCAUUAUCAGACAAGCAUUAAAAAAAAUGUCCAAUUUUUCUAAAAGGCAUAUAGCAAGUUGACAAGAUGAUGAGUACGUGCACUCUAACAAUAGUUUGAAAUUCAUACUGGUAAAUGAACCAGAUUAGCUUAUGGAUCACAGUUCAACUAGUUUGAUACCAAAAUUGCCAUGAAAGCAAAAUUGUCAGAUCUCAAACUCAUAAAAACAAAAACAAUUGCAACUUGACCAAUUUCCAUUUCUGAAGUUGCUUAAAAAUCUAUUACCUAUGUUUGUGAACUUGGAACACCAACAGAUCAUGACUGGCCAUUGGCAGUAACAAGCACUGAAUCUGAGGUUGCUAACGUUGUAUUGGUUACAGGCAUCAUUAUUGUAUCAUCGAUCUCUUGCUGCAUCUCCAAGAUCAUGUUCACAUUCAUGCAUUUUUCUGGCCUUUCUAUUGGUUGGAUUGGCCUCAACUCCCAUAGUAAUGCUCUAAGAAGCCACAAUUACCGCAAGAAACAUACUCUAUAUUGUUGUCAGUACAAGUUAGCAUUGCUAGCAAGUAACUAAUGUGCCUAGGAAGAGGUAGUAGAAAUUAUCUGUUACUUCCCACUUCAGAUUGAAUAUAUAUGUGUUGCUUUGAAUGUAAUUUAUGCAUCAAGAAAAAUGGAUUUUCAAAAGUAUAUAACGUUCUGGAUUUGAAUGAGUUUGUGUAUGCAGCAAAAUGGAAUUAAAAGUUUUAUAAUGUUGAAAAUUAUGUGGAUUUAUAUUAUGGUUAGUUGGGAUUCAAAGACAUUAAUUCAUACCAAUUGUUUAUUGGGAUAUAAAAAUGGUACAUGGCGUGGUACGUUUUCGUGCUUUUUAUAUUAUGGCUGCCUGUACUUAAUUUUAAAUAAUCGAAAUUAGCAUUCUAUGUGAAUAUAAUAACACAACAUUCAAGAUUUACACCCCAUGACCGGCUGAUCUCGUCGGCAGCAAGGGGAAGUAUCUUAUUCAAGAUUUACACUAACACAACUGAGUGCAGCUUCAGCCAUCUUGGUUGAAGUUGAAUAGUUGAACUGUAUUUUUUUGCAGGCAAAGAUGGUCAACAUACAACAGCUAGCGUUACAAAGCAGGGAAUCCAUUACUUAUCUUCCAUUUCAUCUUUUUCCAAAACGAAAUUUCCUAACAAGUUGAAAAACUAAUAAAAAAGUACUGCACCAAGAAAAGAAAAGACUUGAGAUAAUUCAGGACCACACGGCUUGUGGGUACCAUUGCCUCGAAAUAAUUGAAUCUAUAGACGUCAGUUCAAAGUUGAAACACUACAAGUUGGGUACAAAAGUAUUCUUAGGCGUGCCCAGACCUGGGCUCCAGUUAUCAGACAAGAUAAUGCAAUAUCUUCGAAUGCCUAGUCAUACAUCCAAAUCGUGGUCUCCACCAGCACACGUUCAUAAAGAAGCUACUGACUCACGGCACCGCCCCCGAAUGCGGAGGGCCUGGGAAUCAAAUUAUUCCAAGCUACUGAAUUGAUGGAAAUAAAUCAGCUUGAUAAGAGAAUCAAAAAGGAGCAAGAAUAUAAAUUCUUUCAGAAGAUUAACGGAUCAAGAGAAUUAACCCAGACGUCAGUAAACAAAUGCAUACAGCGACUCACGGCUAAAGUCCCAAAUGACAGCAACCGACUUCCAUAGUUUGGGAAAGAUCUAUCGACAAACAACAUAUUUGCUAACUACAGACAGAUUGACGCUUACACUAUGUUACGAUGAGGCCAGAAGGCCAGAAUAUGGCCACAGUCAAUUUGGCCUGAAAAGACUGCCAGAGAGACGGAGACAGAGAAAUCUAUCCACAAAGCGUUACAAUUUGCAUUACAAAAACUCUGCCUUCCUGAUCAGGAAAGAUAUCAAUUUGAGUUAAUUUCAGAAUCUGCAAAAUUUAGAAAUAGUAGAGAGUCUAGAGACCAAAACAGUUCCCUUCCCUAUGGAUUCAUUCCUGUGUAUGUGAUACCUCUUUCCUACCUUUCUUCUCUACUACGUCAGUGCCAAGAAGAGAACAAGUUAUCUUUGCAGCCCAUAAAUUUGUCCUGCUCGGUUCAGAUGCUUGAAGCUGUUCUACAUGUUGUCACGGCUGAGAAUAGCGGCCCUGAUUAAUUUCUUGAAAAUUUUUGAAGAAAAAGAAGAGGAGAAAGAAGUUGCACUUGAAGAUUUGGAGAAGACUGUCAUGAAUUCGACAACUUUUGCCUUGUAAAAACUACCUAAUUAACUCCCCAGUUAAGAAAGGGAGAUAGUUCCUGCCAUGGUUUUUUACCCCUCAAAAAUCAAAAUCAAUAGACGGGUUUUCCACGUAGAAGUUGUAGUGUUCUUGGUUGUUCAAAUUUCUUUUACUAGCUUAAUUUACUUUGGUUAUUGUGUGUUUUAACGUAAUUUUUCUUUUAAGUUUCUUAAUUUCUUUCCACACACGAACUAAUAAAUGGGUAAUCCAAUUUACUAGCUAGCAAAUUUUUUGGGGUACAUCUUUAAAGUUUCUUCUUGUCCCACAAUUCAAGAAUGGUAUUACAAUUUCUUCUUGGGAGAGUACGGAUUAAACUCUUCUCCCAUUGGAGAGAAUCUCUCUCCAUUACUGAUUACACCUCAAUCAAAUUAAUUUUAAAAAUUAUUUUUGAAAAUCAACUUUCAUCAUAAUAUGUUUCAUUACUUGUGCUAGUUACACACAGAACUUCACAUGAAAUUGACCAAGUUUUGCCAUCUAAUUAAUCAUUAUUAAUUUUAUCCUAAUGUUAUCCAUUUUUCACCGCUCAAAUGUUCCAUGUAAAUCAAAUAUUCUCAAAAAAUAUUGAUCUAGAGAUCAAAAGAAAAAUAAUGACACAAUUACAUAAUUUUAUAGCAUUAUAUAAAUUUAUAUAUGAAUAAAUGGAGAGACCAAUGGACACUAACACUAGUCAUGGAUGAUGGAUCCAAUUUUUGGGUCACAUGACUUACUUGCAAGUUUGAAGGAAUAUCUGACAACAGCUUUUUCUUCUCAUAGUAGUAGUUUUUGCCCUUUUCAGCACACUUUGCACAACCACCUUUUAACAUAAUUGCAAAAGUUUUCAUUCUCAGAUGAACAAAAUUUGGUAUCAUCAUCAAAAUACACUAUAACUAAGGGCCCUAAUUAUUGUACAAUGUAGGGCUUUUCAACACUGCCCCCAGACACCCAUACAAAAUAAUGGGCGUAGCCCAGCAAUAACAAGAUACAGCUAAAUGAUUUUCACUAUCAACAAUUAAUGUUAAAUAAUACCUAUCAAACAAUUGGAUUAAGUGGAUCUACACACUGCAAAAGUCAUACUAGAAUGUCGAUAGUUAACCAAUUCCAAGAAUCAGGAUUACCAGACAACCAAAUGGUUGUUGAACUACUCAUUAGCAACCUUCUUCCAGGCGCCCCCUUGAUGAAAGAAUUGAGAGUAGUGUUAGCAGGCGAAUCGAGUUCAUGGUUGGUUCCUGAUCAUUUAUCCCAAGUCAAUUUCCAAAAAAAAUGUUGUCUGUUUUGCAGCUUCAGAGAAACUGAUUCACCAUUUCUUGUUUGAUAAUCUCAGUCAGUUGCCAUCUGAUCUGUUUGGAGAUUCCCUCCGUAUCAUUUCUAUGAGAUCCUGCACAACUUCAGACAUUGGAGGCCUAAACUCUGGCUCCGGCUGCAUGAAAAACUCACGAUGUUAGAACUUAUUCAUUGAAGCCAAGGAAGAAAUGAUAAGAGGACAUCACCAAUGGGAGUAUCCCAAUAACACAGUACUCAAGAGACUUCCUGGAAAGAAAGUUAUAUUCUCUUUUAUGUAUGUUUUCUAUACAAGAAAGUAGAGGUUUGAUUCCUUUGCAGGAUAAAGACAUAAUUUUGAUAUGUACCUAUUCAGUAUUCACCACUACCUUUUUUAAGUUUUUUAGUCAUAUGGAGGAAAAUACUUCUUUUUCCUUUCAACUCUUCCUCUCUUCUUUUUUUUUUUUUUCCUCUUUGGGUGUAAGUGGGAGGUCUCGAACCUGGGAUCUCUCACUUACACUCCCUCCCCCUCCCCCCACAUACCACCCAACCCAUCCCUCCCCCCAAUUUUUCCUUUUCCUUCAUUUUCCAACGAAACAACAAUGAUUUUGCAUACAACUUUCUAAGAAAUGAACUCGGAUGCCCAAUGUGCUUUAUUCGCAUUCAUCCAUUAACUUGGCCUUGUAGUAAGAACUACCAAAACCAUUCGCCACACCUGCCUACAACUACAUGGGAAAAUUUCUUUCACCGUACUAUGCUAUAUGCAAGUGCAAAGCAAAUUCUUGCAUUCAGGUAAUUCCGAGGUUUCUUCAUGUGCCAGCAUACUGUUAUACAAACGCAGCAUUGCAUCUUUAAUUUUGAAGAACUGAUAUCUAUGUAUAUUUAGGUUAAACUAGGGCUAAGGGGGGACCAGAGUUAUAGGCAGAAAGAUAAUUGAAUGUCUGGACUUCUACUUGCUUAAUACUACAACAAGAGCAUGCAUCUCCAUGUUCCAAUCUAAAACAUUAAUAAUUCUCUCAGGUGGAGUGUUGGAGUUAUGUAACCUUAAGUAAUUCAUAAACCAAUUGAGUUAAGAAACAAUUAGUUCGUUAUCCUAAGUGCACAGAAACUUGGGCAUAUAAGCUGCUUGUAAUUAUGUGUUUCCUAACAAUCUGGCAAGUCUAGCACUAAAGUUUGAGUACUAAAAGUAAAGGGGAUGUUUUUUAAGUCCAAUUUGAUCAAAGGUAACUUUUAUCUGUCAUGUGAUAUUUGGACCUGUAAAAGGAUGGACCCAACCACUUUAAACACUCAGAUUCUCAAGACUUGCUCUUAAGUGUUACUUUUUAUUACUAAACCCCCCUCAUCUUCGCUCUUCCAACCAUUAAGGGAGCCAGGGAUUGAACCAUGGGAAGUUGGGAACCAAUCUAAGGCCAUUCAUCCUGAUCAUAACAAAUCCUUGAACUUGAUCACAAAUCUGAAAGCAAGCCAAUAUUUUACUCAAAUUUAUGGUGGGUUUGGUAAGUCAGUGAGGUAGAUUCCCCUCACUGAAUACAGGCCAUCCUAAUGUCAAGGGUUAGCCCAAUAAUAGAGGAACAUGAGCUAUUAUUUCGGAUUUUAUAGCUUGGAUAUCAUUAUUCAUCUUUGCUAGCUUGGCCAUAUAGCAUUCAUCUUUCCUAGUGCAAUAAUCAACAGCUAAAACAGACAGAAUAUUGAAGUCCUGCACUUCUUGGUCCAAAGAAGGACAACAUUUAACUCACCUGGACACAGCGUGCAAUAAUGUCAGCAAAGUGAGAUAAAGAUUUAACAGGAUAUCUUCCAUUCAGAGAAGGAUCAACCAUCCUUGAUAAGGCAUCAAUAUCAUGAAGCUGUGGAAUAGACCAUCUGACCAAAAAUUGUUCUCCUCGAGCCCUUGUCCUACAUUUGAUUAAAGAGAUAAGUAUUGGAUUAGAUCAUGAGAAAAGGUGAAUUUAUAGUAUUAGGACGACUGUGCAGUUGUAUACCUGUCAUAUGACAUUCGACCAGUCAAGAGUUCCAGCAUCACAACCCCGAAGCUGUAAACAUCGCUUUUGGAAGUAUAAACUCCUGACUCAAAUUCUGGGGCACCGUAUCCAUAUGUAGUAAGAAGUUGUCCUGACAACUGAAAUUCAAAUAGAAAUCGCUGUCAGACGUACAAAGAGUUGCAAGUUAUUGCCUGAUGUAAAUAUUAUGCAAAGGGCUUGAAGAGUCCUCUUGCCAUUCUGCCCCAUGGUUUUUUGCUACUGUUACAUAUUUUAUGUUUGGUAGUAGCAUAGCAUAAGCGGGGUUACAAGUCAGUUAUCCAAUGUCUCUCGACUCCAAAAAGAACAACUACACAUCUACUGACUAAAUAAAAUUGUUGGUUUACCAAAAAAAUAAAGGAGUCAACCCUUGCUAAAUCCAGCAACUCUAACAGAUGCUUGCCAACUGGUCUUCAAGAAUGCUACUGUAGGCAGGAGAAUAAAUAUUUUUCAGUUUAUUCAUCUUAAGCUGUCAAUGUUGUUUUGGACUGUUUGGAGAGCCCAAAAAAAAAAAGUACUUGGUUGUGGCAAUUUCUUCAGAAUCUAAACAUAACAAAAUAGUGGCCUUGCAGGUCUUAAUAGCUUUACCUUUCAGAUUCUAUAUAUAUAUUCUCAACUCUCAUAGCCAUUUUAAGUUGGAAAGAAAACCCCAUACUGUCAAGUGCAUAUACAGUUAAUAUCUCAGUAUUAAGGCCUCCAAGCUUGCGCAUGACUUGUCAUGGAAAUGUUUGAAAUGGACAAAUACAAAAUAUGCAUGUGUCCAGGGAAGUCAUGGAAAUGUUUGAAAUAGACAAAUACAAAGUAUGCAUGUGUCCAGGGGGUAUGCAUGUGUCCAGGGGUGGGCCCCACAGUCCCCCAAGUUGUAUAAAAUUUAAAUUUUUUUUCUUACGAAAUUAAAAAGGUUUCAAAACUUUCUUCAUAAAUUAAAAUUUUUGCCUCCGCAAUUAACUUAUACAUUUGAGUUUACACAUAGAGAAAUUUGCCCCCUCAAGAUAUAUUUUCUAGGGCAAAUUCCACUUUACCCUCCUGUGGUUUAGCGUUUUUUCACAUAACCCCCCUAUGGUUUCAAAAGCUAUACAUAACCCCCUUAUGGUUUGGAUUAAAGUGUCAAAGUAACGGAAAUAGUCACUCGUAACGGUGUCACCUAAAAUGUCAAAAAUACCCUUAUGUAAGGUUGAAAUUUAUGUAUUAACCAAGGGGGGUUAUGUGUUUGUUUUGAAAAUCAUAAGGGGGUUAUAUGGUAAAGUAUUAAACCAUAGGGGGGUUAUAUGGUAAAAUAUAAAAAUCAUAGGGAGUUAAUGUGUCAUGUAUUUAUAAGGGUAAUUUCGACAUUUUUAGAGUUCCGUUACGAGUGACUAUUUCCGUUACUUUGACACUUUAAUCAAAACCAUGAUGGGGUUAUGUAUAGCUUUUGAAACCAUAGGGGGGUUAUGUAAAAAAAGGGUAAACCACAGGGGGGUAAAAUGUAAUUUACCCUAUUUUCUAAUUCCAUCCACCCAUGUGUCUCUCUAAAUCGUUUGCAUUUUUGACAGCCAGCAGCAGGGGUUGCACUGUCGGAGAAUACACCGAUAGCAAAGUAAAGAAAACUUGACCAACGUGUGUGUAUAUUUGACACAGUUGGGCAAACACAUAUAAGAAAUUGCCACCAAAAUUCCAAACAUCUCCAGCUAACCUUUAAAUGGUUCUGCCCACAGAGAGAGUCUUUCACAAGAUGCUAUAAUCUAACCUCCAAUUCUGAUGAUAAUACAACCAAGAUCUAAUGAGGCAGAUUCAUUUAAUCAGAAGAUAUAUUCAUCUAAGGAGAUGCUUAUCCAAGCUGCUACUAAAUCCUCUUAAUCUUUCUCACUCAUAGCAGACUACUCUCUCUUCCUAUAUCACGAGGAUCAAAUUCAUUUUGUUUCUAGUUUGCUGCUUCAGAGGAGGUUUGUCUAAUUUUUGCCCACACUAUCAUCCAUGGACCUGUUGGUCUUAAGUAUCAACUGAUGAACCAUCUGACCAUCAUCAUAAUUCAUGGAUCUUCUUUUAGCUACAUUACGCUCUCAUUUUACAGUAUUGCAAGCAUCAAGUCAGUACAAAUGUGUACCAAAAGCAUCUUCAUUCCUAAAUUUGUAUACAAAUUGCAAGUGCUUUGGCAAGGGAUCAUAAUAUUUACCUGACUAACAGCGCCCGAUGUAAUUAAAGAAGCCAAACCACAUUCGGAAACAUGCACAGCUAGCUCCUCGUCAAGAAGAACAUUGGCAGACUUGAAGUUCCUGUGAAUGAUAGGUGGCUCACAGAUCUCAUGCAGAUACCUUAUUAAUAUAAAGCAGAUGUUAGUAGUAUAGAUGUUACAUAAGUUUGAGUUACAUAUCAAGCACGUAAUGCAGAAUACUUGUUGAAAAAUCAUAAGACAAAGAUCAUUGAAUAGAAAGAGAAGAAUUCCACUGCCUGUGGACAACCAGAUAAUGACAUGGACAUGUGCUUCUGGCAAACAUUUCAGUGCUUUUACAAAGUGAUAUUAACUAUUUCAAAAAUUAAAGACAUAAAAUAUUUUGAGAUGUUAGAACCCAAAUCCCCCUUCUUUAAGCUUCUUACUAUAGCCACUCUGUGGGAGAGGGGGAAGAUUGAAAUGUAAGAAAGGAAGGGAGACGUAGGAUGAUGACGAAGCCUAAAUUACUAAGUGGACAGUGAGUAAAUGGAACCUUAUUAACAUAAGCUCGCUGCAACAGAUAGACUUACUUUAGCUGCAUUAUGAAGCAGCCUAAAUUACUAAGUACAUGAUAAGCAAAUAGAACCUCUUUAAUAUAAGCACCUUGGAAGAGAUAGUAAUACUUACUCUAGAGCUCUUGCAGCACCAAGAGCCAUUCUGAUCCGGGCAUUCCAUGAAAGUUGAUUUCUAAUAUCAUCAUCAGAGUGCAAAGCUUCCUGCAGUGAUCCAUUGCAGCAGUACUCAUAAACCAGAAGUCUUUGACCAUGUUCCGCACAGUAACCCAUGAGUUCAACAACAUUAGCAUGACGAAUUCUGUCAAGAUUGUUAACCAGGUCCAAAAACUCAUCAUCCUUUUGUUGAUUAGAAACCCUUUUGUCCAGUUUCUUGACAGCAAGCAACUGCAGGAGGAUUGACAAUCUUUAAUUAUUAGGCCAGUAUAUUCUUUCAAAUUCAUAGACUGCUUUACAAAUAAAGGAAAAGGAGACCGAAAGAGAAAUUUAAUAUCAGGACGCCACUAGAUUAAAAGCUGAAAAUCAUAUAGAAAUGUAACAUGCUCAAAAUAAGAGAAAGGCAAAUGAUAAAAUCUGCUCAUGUUUCCAAAAUGUUAAAAAAAAGGACUUUCGACAACUAAAGAAUGCACAUGAAAUUGACCAAGUUUUGCCAUCUAAUUAAUCAUUAUUAAUUUUAUCCUAAUGUUAUCCAUUUUUCACCGCUCAAAUGUUCCAUGUAAAUCAAAUAUUCAAAAUAUUGAUCUAGAGAUCAAAAGAAAACUAAUGACACAAUUACAUAAUUUUAUAGCAUUAUAUAAAUUUAUAUAUGAAUAAAUGGAGAGACCAAUGGAGAGAAAUCUAACAAACAGGAUCCUAACCCGGGAGGGCACUAACACUAGUCAUGGAUCCAAUUUUUGGUUCACAUGAUCUAAUUGCAAGUUUGAAGGAAUAUCUGACAACAGCUUUUUCUUCUCAUAGUAGUAGCUUUUGCCCUUUUCAGCACACUUUGCACAACCACCUUUAACAUAAUUGCAAUAGUUUUCAUUCUCAGAUGAACAAAAUUUGGAAUCAUCAUCAAAAUACACUAUAACUAAGGGCCCUAAUUAUUGUACAAUGUAGGGCUUUUCAACACUGCCCCGAGUCAUCCAUACAAAAUAAUGAGCGUAGCCCAGCUAUAAAUGAUUUUCACUAUCAACAAUUAAUGUCAAACAAUUGGGUUAAGUGGAUCUACACACUGCAAAAGUCAUACUAGAAUGUCGAUAAUUAACCAAUUCCAAGAAUCAGGAUUACCAGACAACCAAAUGGUCGUUGAACUACUCAUUAGCAACCUUCUUCCAGGCGCCCCCUUGAUGAAAGAAUUGAGAGUAGUGUUAGCAGGCGAAUCGAGUUCAUGGUUGGUUCCUGAAAGACUUGGGACCGUGAGAUCCAAUAUUGUGUACAAUCUCUACCGUCACAAACUAGUCCCAGCCCAUUACGUUCUAAUAGAUACUUCGAUAAAUCUUUUGCUAAUGAAAAAACUAAAGGAAAAGAAUAUUACUGGAACAUAAGAGGGCAUGGCAUCAGUAGAGGUACUUCAACUUUUCAAAGCCGAGUCGACAAAUAAGACACUCACCCAAGUCUUCAAGAACUGGUUCGACCGCUUCUUUACUUGCAUCUUUAGGUUUGAUGUUCUGAGAUGCUUCCACAGACGUAUUAGUUAAUUCCUUCUGUGGAUUCAGUAAAAAACUGCUUUGAACUCUCACAAUCUCCAUGCUCUAUUCCUUGCUUUUCAUGCAAUUCAAUUAUUUCACUGGUGAAAAGCUUAUCAGACAGGUCCCGGAACAAAUUGCAGAUACCAAACAGCUCUCCUUGAAAUUCUCUGCAAUCCUGAAAAGUGGGAUCAAGGACCCCAAGUCUUAGCGAUCACGACUAUGAUAUAAGAAGACAACUGUGCACAGAAUCAGAAAAUCAGCAACAGUACUUGCACACCAUCAAAGUAACGUUUCUCCGUUUUCCCAGAAACAGCAAUAUUUGCUAAUUGUUGCUUGUAAACCUGCCUGGCGUAAACAAGUUCCUCCAGAGAACCAGCUUCAAUAAGACGGAAAACAAUGACACCCCGCUUCUGCCCAUUACGGAAGACCUGUCUUGUGCCUGCAAAUCCUGGGCAGGAUUCCAAUUUGGGUCAAAGAUCACAACACGAUUUGCACUAACAAGAUUGAGUCCAAGCCCACCAGCUCGAGUUGAUACGAGGAAGGCCUGCAAUUAAGAUGUAAAAUUAGAAACUUAAGUCUCACAGUAUCAAAACUGACUCUAAAUGUCAAAACUAACCUGUUUGCUUGGACCUGAGUUGAAGUCAUCAACAAGAGACUGGCGUACUCCAGUCGGAGUAUAUCCAUCAAGCCUUGAAAAGCAACAGCCUUUGCGUAUAAGGAACUUUUCAAGUAUGUCCAGCAUUCUGCUCAAAAGAAAAACAUUAAAAGAAUAAGAGGGUAAUGACAAGCUGUCUCAACUCAACUCUUAGAAGUGUUUAAGGCUAAGUGUAGAUUCUUCAUCCAUUAUGGUGCAAAGAGCCAAUUCAUUGCAGGGACAUUACUGGCAAGUCCUAUUUCAAAAUAUCAACAACAUUUAAGUCCGACUAAUUUAUUCCAAGACCAAUAAAGACCAAAACUUAACGGAUAACAAAGCUUCCAAGUAAAAUUCUGAUUUUCAUAUAUUCUUUUAAAACUUCAACCACAGAGUAGCUUCCUCUUUUCUUUUCCAAAACUACAGAGUGCCCAAUUCCAUCCGUUAAACCAAAACAGUGCACAAUUCCAUUGGGGAACCCAUAAGGAAGAAGAAACCCAAAAAACAAAAAAUUGAGAAAAGAAGAAAAGAUAACGACUUGCUAUAAUUUAUUUUAGCAUACAAGCAGCAUUCAAGAUUCCUGGCAAUUUUUUACCAGGAGCCAGUAAAGCAUACGCUUGAAACUUUGAGCAGCGCAUGCAAAUUUUUGGCACGCGAAAAGGGAAACUGGACCUAUAGUCUACAUGGAGUCAAGUUAUGAAAAAAAUGCAUAAACAAGAAUUAGAGGCUAAUUCUUGUGUGAAACGUGGGUGUUUUGUUUGUGGUGGCGGCGGCAGACCACAAACCAAUUUUUUCCACUGGGCAACUCUUUCUUCUCUACUCUCUCAGUCUCUUGGUCGUUCCACAGAUUCCAAUUCCAAGCAGAUUUUUUGCACUUUCUCUUCGAAUUCUCCGGGGGAAGAAGCAAAGGUACCAUCGUUUAAGAUUGCGAGACUUCGAGUAUGCUGGCCAACUUUUUUGCAACUCCGAUGAUAAAAUUUCAAGAAAAUAGCAGUAAGCAGAGAUUUUUUUUUUUAAAAAAACCAUGUUUCAAUCAAUCUGUCAUUUUCUUGGUUCUGUUUUUGUUUAUUGACAUUAAGUGCUGACAUAGUGUCAAGUAAUGAGUUUUUUCUUUUCCCUCUUAUACUUUCAGCAUUUCGGCCGUGAAUUGAUCUGGUUUGAACUAUUUUUGCACGAUUUCUUCGGCUUAGUUUUAUGCCAUCCUUUUGUUGUUCUAGGAUUCAGCUUUUUCAGAUUUCCUCUAAUUGCAUUUCUGUAAUGAGCAGGUAAAAUUUGAAGGAAAUCUAAAGAAGCGCUAAUCUGGUUUCUCUUUUUUUUAAAAAAAAAAUUAUUAUUUACAUGAAUUCAUCUUUUUUUUUUUUGUCUUUAUUGUUUAUAGAUAAUAGGAAGCCAGACAAUCAUUAUUGACUAAGGAUUUUCUGUUGCCAUUGCUACAGCGCUGACCAAUCCAGUGAAAGUCUUCAAGGUAUGAUCAUGUAAUGUGCUUUUGAAUUUCUUAAAUUCUUUUUUUUUUUUUUGGCUCUUUCGGUUACGAUUACAGAUCAGUGUAUGUUUUUGCAAGUUCCCCCACCGCCUUUCUUUUGUUGAAGAUUUGAGGUUUUCCUUGCAUCAUUUUUAGUUGCAUUUUGAAGUUGCUGAAGUUGUAUUCCGGGCAAAAGUUGAUGGUUACAAGUGCAAUUGUGGAACGUCCUCUAGUUAAAUUAGCUCAAUUUUUGUUUAAUAAGUUCAAGCAGCAUGUAACUUUUGUAAACAUGAUAAAAGAAUUCCAGGAUUGUGUGAUUUAGUCAAACUUUCCAUUCAAGAUUAGCAAAAGAUCUCCAAUUUGUGGCUGAGUUUUUAUCAACCAAGCAGAUUUCGUUAAUCAUUAAUCUCAAAAGUCGUACAUUAAAUGCAUAUCGAAUUUCUUUCGGGAUUUUUCUAUAGGGAUUGAAGUGUUUUUUCUUAUCAGUUCUACAAUCCUGAUUAAUUUUGCAUUUCUUUUUGUUUAAUUUAAUUUCCUCUUAGAAGUGUUUUAUCUGUUGGCCGGCUUUUCUAUAUUGAACUUCUUGGUCUGUCCAAUUUUCCUUUUUCCCUUUUUGGAUUCUCGACUAUUAAUAAUUUUCCUGGUGCUUUUGGUCUGGAGACGUGUUUGAUUUUUGCAUUUUUGGUCUUCCCUUAAACCAAAAUCUGGUUAUUGACAGGAAAAGAUAAAAUGAAAAACAAGCCGGACCAAACCCCCCCCCCCCCCCCCCGGGGGAAAAACAAACAAAAAGACAACACCAGCACCGCUGCUAUACUAGAUUGAGAUAUUGGAAUUGGUUUCUCAGCAAUACCAAUUCCAACCCGAUAGUCAACUCUCUGUGAGCCACCUCCUCCUCCUGCUCUUACUAUUAUUGUUCACUAUGUACUGAUGCCACUACUACUCAGUUCUCCAUUGUUCAGCUCCAUUUAAUGCUAUGACUUGUUUUUUGAACUAAUAGUGACUUUGACACUAUAUUUAAUUUAAUUGGUUGUAUAAAUCUGUUUGGAUCCUUCAAUUUUUCAAAAAUUAGUUUUUUAAAUACUAUAAAAAUUUUUAAAAAGUACUCUAAAAUGUAGUCUAAAUUUUUUUAAUGUUUAAAAAUAUUUCAAAAUAUAUUUUAAAAACUUUACUACUCUUAAAUAUUUCAAAAUAUUUUCUAAAAAUAUUUCAAAAUAUACUCUAAAAACUCUAUUACAGUAAAAUUUUUCAAAAACAUUCCAAAAAACAGGUAAUCCAAAUGGAGUUGACUUUUCCUAUAUUACAAGUGAAGAUAGUAGAUGAGGGAUUUCUAGAUGCACACAAUUUCAACACUUCACCAGUGCCACAUUGUCUGUAUUAUCAAUUUAGGUCCUCUUCAUUAUCUCUGAAGCAUCUGCAAAGUAGCCACUUUUUUCAGAAUGCGUUUUCAAUUUAUAUAUCCCAAUUUCCUUUUGCAUGGAACAUAAUCUGCUGAAGAUGAAUAAUCUGCUUUUCAUUUUAUUUUCAUAAGGCAUUCUGCAUAUCUGAUGAUGAAUAGGAAUACUUAUGGGUACUCUCUCAACCAAGUUGCUUUCUUUCUCUUCCGCCCACAAGUUCAUUUUAUGUUUUCUUUGAGAUGCAGAUUGUCAUUUUUGUGGGGUUUCCCAUUCUAUUUUGUGUCUUUGAAGGAAUUGAAAAAAAAAUGAUGAAUAAAGGUUUUAACAACUCGAGCUAUUUGUUGGUUUAUCAUUAAUUGUGAGUAUCUAACAAAAAAAGAUAAUAAUUGUAGAGAAUGGAUAUGUUAUAAUACAAUCUGAAGGGCAUAUCCAUUCAGAUUAGAUUGGUUACUAUUGACUUUAUAAAAUUUUGAAGUCCGAAUACUUGUAGAGUCUUGGUUGGUUUAGGAAUUUUGUCUUUGCCAAUAUUGGCUAUUGAAUUUAACAUGUAGAUUAGUUCACAGUCUAUUAAUUAGCCAUGCCAUAGAAAUUUGGUCCGGAAUUUUGUGUCCUUUCUCUACACUUUUAAUCGGUUUGUAUUGGAUGAAGCAAGAGAUACUUUGACAGUUAGGUUAUCUGGGUAUGGGUUGAUAUUGCGGAACUCCUAAUUUGCUUUGAAUUGUUUUGGGCGGUGCAAAGUCAUAACGCAACCAUAUCCUUUGCCUACGAUAGAAUUAUGGAAGCAUGAAUAGUAAGUGUUACAUGGAUUUAUUUUCUCUUUAUUUGUUUUGGCCUGUAUUCUACCUUUGCCUUUCCUUUUGAGGGAAAUUUCAUGAUACUUUGUAAUUGUCAAUGCUACUCUGUUUGCUAUUGUACUUGCUGUGUUUCUCCAAGUGAGAAACCACGCACUUCUUUUUUUAUAUCUUUCAUUUUUUUCGGUGUUGCAAGUGAAAAAGGUAUAGCCAAAAAAUUCCAAUUACCAAAAUGAAUGCAAAUAUGGCCAUAAUUGUUUGUUUCUAACCCACAUGUAAAUGACCGGCUACGAAAAGUGACCAAACAAAAAGACAUUUUACGGUUCAAUAUUUCUACCAAAUACGCAAUACAAAAAAAAGACUUAAUAAAAAAAAAAAACAAUCCAUUUCAACAAGUAUACCCAAUACUUCAGGUCCGUUUGGGGUUAAAAUUAGGAGUAGAGUUUUUUAUGUUAAAAACACUUUUAAUAAAAGUUCAAAUUUGAUACUUUUAGAAUAGCUCUUGUUAUUUAAAAAAUAAAACAUCCAAUUUAAUCAUUUUGUCCUAUAUUAUGAAUCAAAUAAAGAGAUAAACACUUUUAAAAAUUUUUAAAAGUACAUAUUAUUCAAUACAAUAACUACUUAUUAAACAAUGUCUUCAAAUAAAAUAUUUAAAAGCACUUAAGCAGUUAAUAAAUACUUUUAUUAAAAUAACACAACUGACAAGUUUUAAUCUCUUUUUAUACCUUUCUAAAAUAAAAUUUUAAAUUUACACAUGAAAAAAAUGCUAGGGGUUCAAAAAUUUUGAAUUAAGUUUUUAUGUUAAAUUUUAUAAUACUUUGUUCAAAUUUUUAUAUUCUUAUUGUUCAAUUAUUAAAUAGUAUGUAAUUUUGCAACACAGAAUACGGAUAGAAAAAAAUUGGUAAUUAAGCUUAUUGAACAUUAUAAGUAAAUAUUUAAAACUAAUGAUAGGUGCAAAGAAUGGUAUAAAUUGAUAACUUAGUUUGCAAAAAUGAAUUUAAAUGAUUUUACAAAAAGUUAAAAUAAAUUGGUUAUAAAUGGGUAAUUAAGUUACCCAAUUUAUUUUUUGACUUACCCAUUUAUACCUAUCUAAUUAAGUGGGUAUAAAUGAAUUGAUUCACUUAUACCCGUUAACCAUUUUAACCAACCGAAACCCGCCAAAAUCAUCUAUUUUGACACCUCUAACCAUAAAAUACAAUAUGCCCACAUCACCUUAACCAUAGCACCUUAUAAGUUGGGCUCAGAGACAGAGUGGCAAGGUGAUCACCUGAUUGUGUGUCCUUUGAAAGGUAAAAAAAUUGGAAAUUUAAAGACUAAAUAUGGAUACUAAAGAAUAACUUUUUCACCAAAUAUUAUCACACUGCUACAGGAACUUCAGAUAGAAUACAGGAGUGGCUAUAUUCCCUGAAAAUUCCACACUAGUGCAAUUCCAUGAAUGAAAUUUGUUUGGGUAAAACCAUGUCUGCUAUGGUAAUUGUUCAAUCUGACUUCAUUAAAUCGAACUUUGGAAAUAUAUAUAUAUAUAUAUAAAAGUAGUGAAGGCUACUGGUUUGCUAUCAGACAGAGUCUAUCCAGAAAUUCUGCACCCUACUAGUAGUACUAGGUCAUAAAAUUUUCAAUUCCAUUGAAUACAUUAUACUUGCCAACUCAAGGACCAAUCACUGAAUCUUAAUGAAAAUUAAGUUUCACUUUACAAUAGAUUUUUUUUUUUUUUUUUUUUUUUGAAGAAAAAACGUCCAUUCAUUGCAUAUCAGCAAGAGCAGCUUCAGUAACAUUCGUAGGGAAGUUUACAAACCAUACAUUACUUCCCUCUAGAGUUAAUGACAAUUUAGACAUGAUAUGUGCAGGACCAUUAUUAGUCCGCUUUACAUGACUAAUCUUGACAUAAUCAAAAGAAUUCAGCAUAGAUCGGAUGCCAUGAAUUACAUUACCUAUUAGGGACAUGUCGGGUUCAUUGCUGUUAAUCCUCUGGACGACUCUUAAAGCAUGCAUCCCCUUCUAGCAAAAAAUGUGUGAUUCCAAAAUCUCUUGCGAACUCCAGGGCACUUAAGAAGGCCAAGCAUUCCACAUGUUCUGCACUGUGAGCUCCCUUAACCCGUGCUGCCAUUGCAGCCUCUACUUGACCCAAAUGAUCCCUAACCACCACCCCUAUUCCAGCUGCUUCUUCAGCGAAGGCUCCAUCCACAUUAAUCUUCAAAUAAUUCUCCUCUGGUGCAACCCAUUUGGUAUACUCCUGAUGUUGCCGUAAUCCUUUGUUGUUAUGGAUAUUGCAAUACUCUUGCAAGAAAGCCUUCGCAGAUUCGCCCACUUGUGUCGCCUCCCGUACCUUGCCCUCGAAUAAUUCUUGGUUCCUGCUUUUCCAAAUCAUCCACAUGGUGACCACAAUGAGUUCCGCUACUCCUACACUGUGAAACUUCAAACAGCAGUCAAACCAGUCCUUGAAGUUUGAUGGAGCAGACUUGCGAAUUGCUCUCAGCAGUCCCAUUCGCUCCCAAACUUCUUGAGCAAAACCACACUCAAAGAAUACAUGCUUAUCAGUUUCUUGCUCACAGCCACACCAACUGCAACGUAGUACGUCUUUCCUUAGCCUCGCUGAUAAGUUCUGCCCCGUAGGUAGAAUACCAGAGCAAGCGCGCCAAGCAAAAAUUCUAACCUUUGGAGGGAUGUUCAAAUUCCAAACCUUAAGCCAGAAAGACUUCUCUUUGCUACUGGAUGAUGCCCCCUCCCCACCUUCGUCCAACCUCUGCAAGGUUCUUGCGAGAUGGUACGCUGACCGAACAUCAAAACUUCCAUUUUUGUUAUAAUACCAGAUUAACUCAUCCUUAGCCCACCCUGGAGAACGAGGAAUUCUCAGAAUAUUCUGUACCUCAUGACUCAAGAAUAGAGCAUAGAGCAAGUCCUGUCUCCAACCACCAGAAUGGGCAUCAAUUAGGUCACAUACUUUAGCGUCUGGCCAUAAUGUUUUGGAACAUUGUGAAACUCGGAAGAAAGGAGGAUAAGGUACCCAAGCAUCAUCCCAUACCUUUAUAUUUGUUCCAUCACCCACUCUCCACACUAAACCCCUUUGCAGUAGUUCUCUUCCAUCUAAUAAACUCCUCCAAAGAUAAGAUGGAUGACUCCCUAAUUUGGCACUCAGAAAAUCUGUCUUAGCAAAGUAUUUGGCCUUUAAAACUCUGGCUGCCAGAGAUUCAGGAUUUUUAAUUAUCCUCCACCCUUGUUUUGCUAGUAAAGCAAGGUUAAAGGCUUCCAUGUCUCUAAAACCCAAACCACCUUCGGAUUUUGAUUUACAUAAUUGAUCCCAUUUCAGCCAACACAAUUUCCUCUCCUGCCCUCUUUGACCCCACCAAAAGUUCCGUAUGAGAGAAUUAAUAUCAGCCCCUAGCUUUUUUGUGAUCUUAAAACAGGACAUCACAUAGGUGGGAAUAGCCUGAGCUACUGCCUUGAUUAGCACCUCCUUUCCGGCUUGUGAUAAAGUGUUCUCCUUCCACCCUUUGAGCUUCUUCCAAACUCGCUCCUUAAUAAAACCAAAGAUCUCAGUUUUUGACCUACUAACCAUGUAUGGUAAUCCCAAAUAAACUCCUUUUCCAUCAUCCUCUUGCACUCCUAGCAGCCCACACAGUUGGCCUUGCCUUUCUUGUGACAUGUUGCUACUGCAAUAUAGCCGAGACUUUUGAAAGUUGGCCUUCUGACCAGAUGCUCUCCCAUAGACCCGCAGUACUUCUUGGAUGGCCUGGAUGCUCUGCUCAUCUGCUCUAGCAAAAAAUAGACUAUCAUCUGCAAAUAGAAGAUGAGAGAUUGAAGGGCCCCCUCUACCAAUUCGAAUCCCACUCCAUAAUCCCUGUCGCUCCAUCUUAUGGAUAAGUGACGAAAGGCCUUCUGCACACAAAAUAAAUAGGUAAGGCGAGAGAGGGUCUCCCUGACGCAAUCCUCUCCUCGGCUCAAAAAAAUCUGUAUGACCACCAUUACAAUAGAGUUGGACAUUGAGAAACAUGUCAACAGCAAUAAAGAUAUACACGAUGAGGUACUGAGUCAACAAACAAUCCCUUUAUUAUCAAAAUAGUUAGUCAGAACAAGAUUCAUCAAAAUCCCCCAAACAUUUGAAUGUGGUCUCAGCUCACCGCUUUGCAACUCUUUUCCUCACUGCUGCACCAUUGUCGAUUCCCGCUUGUGGACUCAGUCACUCAUCAUUGGACGCAUGGCUCUGACUCUCAUUCCAACACAACAGGGCACUCAGCAGACACGUAACACUACUGUAAAACUGUAACUCAGGUGUUCUCAUGGAAAUACUUUGGUCGUUGUUCUUGGUUGUUGUCCCUGCGGCAUAACAAACACGAGCUCAAGAAAUAGGCAGCCAUUUGCUGAAUCAGGAAAAAGGUAGUUCAAUUUAAGGAGAGAGCAGAUUGAAACAACAAUACAAAUGCAUCUCAAAGGAGAGAGCAGAUAAAUCCAAGAAUAAAUGAGACAAUCAGCAGACAGCUGGCAUUAAUAAGGAGAGAAAACUCCUCUUUUUUUUUUUUUUGGGUGACGGACGAUGAAUAAGUUGCCCUGACUCUGACCAUUGAAAAAAAAAAAACAAAGAAUGAAUAAAUGAAUGAUAAGGAGGAAGAAAGAAUCUACGGAAAGGAAAAUAUAAAGUGCAAUUGAAGGAAGAGUCAGGAUUAGUGUAACAUUUUAAGGAAGCAACUGCGUUUUUCUUUUCCUUAUUCCUUUCGGGGAUUAAAAACAAGAAAAAGGAGUAAUAGAAUUAAAAAAUUGGAAAUAUUAACCACUUACAGUUACAGUUUGUUUCCCAAAUGCGAAACCAGUCAAACUUCUUUUCCAUCGAUAUAAACAUCGGGAAUGUGUGCAAUCUUGGGCCACUCUGCGCUACUUCCUUUGGUGCAUCUCUCUGCUAAAAGAGGACACCUAGCGAUACGUAGUUGAUUUAAAUUGGUGAGGUGUCGUAUUGCUUCUGCAGAGGGCAAUUGUCUGAGGUUAGAGCAAUUAUUAAUCUCCAAUUCUCGAAGAUUCCGAAGGCUACCCAUCCACUCUGGAAGAACUUCCAACCCCUCAAACUCCCACAUAUUUAAAGUUCUCAAGGUAGAGAGAUGCUGAAUUUGGUCUGGGAGAGACGUGAUUUUUGGCCAUCCACGCAAUACAAGACGCUCCAGAGAGACGAGAUUGGUGAUGGGGUGUGGCCACGGGAAAUGAUCAUGGUCGUCAGAGAAGCCACCGAGUUCCAACGAUCUGAGGUUGGCCAGAUGGUGGAGAACCAUAAUUGGCCAAGAACCAAGGUCAUCAGAACGGAUCGUCAGCCGCUGGAGCGACGUGAACUUCUCAAGAUUAUUACUCAACGAAGGAUUCAACUUAUCACAUCCUGAGAUGCCUAGAAUACGUAGGGAUUGGGGGUUUUCCAUAUCUAGAGAAGCAUCUAAUAAAGCAGGGCAGUCACUUAAGUAUAAGGAUUCAAGAGAUGUGAGGCUAUUCAAAUUCCUUAUACAAGCCAAACUCCCGCAUCUCGUUAUCUGUAACUCCUUAAGAGAUGUCAAGUUCUCCAUAUCUGGUAAAACAGCCAACUUGGGGAGCCCUGAGAUUCUCAAGUCUCGGAGAUUAGGGAAUACUUUAAUUGAUGAAGAAGAAUCCGAGGGAACCAUUGCAUCUAACCACUCCUCCAGACUUCCCAUAUUCACCAAAACAAAACGCGACAGUUUAGGAAACAGAGUUAUUGGUUCCACCUCUCUGCUACUGCUACUGCUACAAGCGCUGCUCCUUGCAUUAAUAUCGAGACCAUAGAAUUCAGCCCCAAUGCGCUUCAGAUUGUGUAAGCGGACCAUCUGUAAGGACUCGAGACAAGGCAAGUCCCCUAGUGGUGGUACUUGUUCACACUUGCCCAUUCCCUCUCAACUCGAUGCCUACCAGAUUCCGAAGGAGUACCAUCAAGUGAUCCUUUGCCACCAUCCACGACGGCAACCUUGAACCUUUGAAACCACUAAUGGCUAAACGUUUCAAGUCUGGGUGAGGUUGGAGACCUUCCAUGACACUGUUGAUAUUGUUGUCGUCGCAAUCUUCUUUCGUGCCAUUCCAUGAAAGUGUUAAACCUUGAAUGCUUGAUUUUUCGGACAACUUUGCUUUUGCUGC